CAAAAAAGUAAAAAACAAAAAGUUAGCAUUUAGUAAUUAUAAAAAUACCCAGAGUGAGGAAGACAGAAUGAUCUAUAAGAUUAGGCAGAAAGAGGCUAAGCAAGUUAUAAGAGCUUCCAAAUCACACAGAAGAGAAAAUAGCACAGUCAGUAAAAAAAGGGGACAAAACAUUAUUUAGAUACAUAAAUGAGAAAAGGAAAGUAAAACAAGG